CUCUAUACGGAGUUACAAAGGACGACAUUAGACGAAUCAUCUGGAAAGAUGAAUCAAAGAAGGUAAUAAUCCUGUAGUCGAAAAUGUUGUCUCUCUUGAGUGGAUCCUGAGUACGACGGAGCACGUGAAAUUCCGUCGGAAUCUGGGAGGACCAUCUCCUAAGGCUAAAUACUCUCUAGUGACCGAUAGUGAACCAGUACCGUGAGGGAAAGGUGAAAAGCACCCCGGAAGGGGAGUGAAAUAGAACCUGAAACCGUGUGCUUACAAGUAGUCAGAGCCCGUUAAUGGGUGAUGGCGUGCCUUUUGUAGAAUGAACCGGCGAGUUACGAUUUGAUGCAAGGUUAAGCAGUAAAUGUGGAGCCGUAGCGAAAGCGAGUCUGAAUAGGGCGUUUAGUAUUUGGUCGUAGACCCGAAACCAGGUGAUCUACCCUUGGUCAGGUUGAAGUUCAGGUAACACUGAAUGGAGGACCGAACCGACUUACGUUGAAAAGUGAGCGGAUGAACUGAGGGUAGCGGAGAAAUUCCAAUCGAACCUGGAGAUAGCUGGUUCUCUCCGAAAUAGCUUUAGGGCUAGCCUCAAGUGAUGAUUAUUGGAGGUAGAGCACUGUUUGGACGAGGGGCCCCUCUCGGGUUACCGAAUUCAGACAAACUCCGAAUGCCAAUUAAUUUAACUUGGGAGUCAGAACAUGGGUGAUAAGGUCCGUGUUCGAAAGGGAAACAGCCCAGACCACCAGCUAAGGUCCCAAAAUAUAUGUUAAGUGGAAAAGGAUGUGGCGUUGCCCAGACAACUAGGAUGUUGGCUUAGAAGCAGCCAUCAUUUAAAGAGUGCGUAAUAGCUCACUAGUCGAGUGACACUGCGCCGAAAAUGUACCGGGGCUAAACAUAUUACCGAAGCUGUGGAUUGUCCUUUGGACAAUGGUAGGAGAGCGUUCUAAGGGCGUUGAAGCAUGAUCGUAAGGACAUGUGGAGCGCUUAGAAGUGAGAAUGCCGGUGUGAGUAGCGAAAGACGGGUGAGAAUCCCGUCCACCGAUUGACUAAGGUUUCCAGAGGAAGGCUCGUCCGCUCUGGGUUAGUCGGGUCCUAAGCUGAGGCCGACAGGCGUAGGCGAUGGAUAACAGGUUGAUAUUCCUGUACCACCUAUAAUCGUUUUAAUCGAUGGGGGGACGCAGUAGGAUAGGCGAAGCGUGCGAUUGGAUUGCACGUCUAAGCAGUAAGGCUGAGUAUUAGGCAAAUCCGGUACUCGUUAAGGCUGAGCUGUGAUGGGGAGAAGACAUUGUGUCUUCGAGUCGUUGAUUUCACACUGCCGAGAAAAGCCUCUAGAUAGAAAAUAGGUGCCCGUACCGCAAACCGACACAGGUAGUCAAGAUGAGAAUUCUAAGGUGAGCGAGCGAACUCUCGUUAAGGAACUCGGCAAAAUGACCCCGUAACUUCGGGAGAAGGGGUGCUCUUUAGGGUUAACGCCCAGAAGAGCCGCAGUGAAUAGGCCCAAGCGACUGUUUAUCAAAAACACAGGUCUCUGCUAAACCGUAAGGUGAUGUAUAGGGGCUGACGCCUGCCCGGUGCUGGAAGGUUAAGAGGAGUGGUUAGCUUCUGCGAAGCUACGAAUCGAAGCCCCAGUAAACGGCGGCCGUAACUAUAACGGUCCUAAGGUAGCGAAAUUCCUUGUCGGGUAAGUUCCGACCCGCACGAAAGGCGUAACGAUUUGGGCACUGUCUCAACGAGAGACUCGGUGAAAUCAUAGUACCUGUGAAGAUGCAGGUUACCCGCGACAGGACGGAAAGACCCCGUGGAGCUUUACUGUAGCCUGAUAUUGAAAUUCGGCACAGCUUGUACAGGAUAGGUA
rnacentral:rRNA from 1 species